GACGAACGCUGGCGGCGUGCCUAAUACAUGCAAGUAGAACGCUGAAGGAGGAGCUUGCUUCUCUGGAUGAGUUGCGAACGGGUGAGUAACGCGUAGGUAACCUGCCUGGUAGUGGGGGAUAACUAUUGGAAACGAUAGCUAAUACCGCAUAAUAGCAGUUGUUGCAUGAUAACUGUUUGAAAGGUGCAAUUGCACCGCUACCAGAUGGACCUGCGUUGUAUUAGCUAGUUGGUGGGGUAACGGCUCACCAAGGCGACGAUACAUAGCCGACCUGAGAGGGUGAUCGGCCACACUGGGACUGAGGCACGGCCCAGACUCCUACGGGAGGCAGCAGUAGGGAAUCUUCGGCAAUGGACGGAAGUCUGACCGAGCAACGCCGCGUGAGUGAAGAAGGUUUUCGGAUCGUAAAGCUCUGUUGUAAGAGAAGAACGAGUGUGAGAGUGGAAAGUUCACACUGUGACGGUAUCUUACCAGAAAGGGACGGCUAACUACGUG
rnacentral:rRNA from 1 species